UAUUAGGUCACUGCAAAGGUAAUUGCAGUUUUUGUCAUUGAAAGUAAUGGCAAAAACUGCAAUUACCUUUGCAGUGAUCUAAUG
rnacentral:pre_miRNA from 1 species